UACGUAGGGGGCAAGCGUUGUUCGGAUUCACUGGGCGUAAAUGGUGCGUAGGUGGUGAGGUAAGUCGGAUGUGAAAGCUCGGAGCUCAACUCCGAAAUGGCAUUGGAAACUACCUUGCUCGAGGGUUGGAGGGGGGACUGGAAUACUUGGUGUAGCAGUGAAAUGCGUAGAUAUCAAGUGGAACACCAGUGGCGAAGGCGAGUCCCUGGACAACUCCUGACACUGAGGCACGAAAGCUAGGGGAGCAAACAGG
rnacentral:rRNA from 1 species